UUUUUGUUCUUUAAUGAAAGGAUAGAGGUAGCUACACUGCUUUCAGUUUUUUAGAGGGAUCGUAAAUGCAUGUUUUUGAGUUGUACAAUAUAGAACAUAAAUAGAACAUCAACAGAACAAUUUUAUGUUACAACUUUAGAUACUAGGAAUGCUUUGAAUUUAUAGCAUCCGAAAAGAUUAGACUAAAAAUGGCAAAAAUAGCACUUUCAUUGUUCGGCCAAAUAAGUGAAAAGGCUACCAAACAAUGACUUGCCUAUGAGAGCGCUGCUAUAUACAAUGCUAACAGGGAGUGUGGGAGGGAGCCAACAGGGAUCCAUCAAAUGGCAGGUAAAAUAAAGCAUUCAACAUUACAUUUAACACUUUGUAUCAGUUUUUCAGUACUCAGAACAACCUCUUCACAAACCGUCCAUUUUUAAUAUUUCCUUACAUCCAUAGUUUUCGCAGAAUAAUUUGAAUUUAGGUGCAUCCCAAUUAGAUACCCUUCUCACAGUCUGUCUUCCAUAGUCUUAUACUGCUUUAGGUUAGACAAACAGUCUUCCACCACGCCUGUCUCACACUGUUACAUGCCUGUUUUAAAGACUUACGCGUCUGUUUUAUACGCUUGCAGGCUGUAAGUCGUGUUUAUGAGUUUUCAUGCCUGUCUUAUAGCCUUUCACGCCUGUCUAUCAGCCUUGUAUGCCUGUUGUACAGUCUUGCGUACCCCUUAUUGUGUUGAAGAAACUUGUUUACUGCCUUGCACAGAUGUAGUACGAACCUGUUUACAUUCAAACUCAUCUCUCCGCAGCCCUGUUCACUCUCCUGUUCGUGAUAAUCCACCGUUAAACACACCUAACACAAUCCUUCAGUAAACAGUGGAGCGCCAGAAAGUAUCACCAGCUGCCGCGGCACAAUCUCUUCUGUCAGUUCCACUGCAAACAGCUUCCAGAUGUUUGAGGACAUCAGCACCCCCCUAAAAGUCACGUUCACUUUCUGCUUCCGCCUACAACCAGGAAGCGUCACUAGGAGGCCGGUGCCAGCUGAAGUUUCUGUGGCUCUGUCAGCAGCCUGUGAGGACAAUAACUCAAGCUGGUCAUGAGCGUAGAGACAGUGGAGGGCUUUGUUGUGGAUACAUAGGCUUAAGUUGUUUAUGAAAUUGUCCUUCAUUUUACCUUCAUGCUGUACUAUUGUGCUGUCGACCUGUUUACAGAAACGCUGCCUGGCAAUAUGUUGCUAAAAACAAUGUAUAAGAAAAUAGCACUAUUAUAGAACUGUCUAAAAGCCUUGAAGGCUUGUUGAAAGCUUUACAGCCCUUUUAAUGGGCUUAUUGAGCUGUCUUAAAGGAGAAAUCUGGUGUGAAAUAGACUUGGGCUGUAGUGAAACAUAAUAACAAGUAUGAACUGUUGUUGAAUAGCCCACCUUUGUUUGCCCCCAGGAUUCUGAAAAACAGCGCUUUAAGCCGAUGCUCCCAACAGCCUUUUAAUGUUAGAGAUAGGGGCAUAGCGUUGACCAUGCAAAGAAAUUACUAUUUUUAUACCAAUUAAUUUUAAGAUGUUUUUUAAAAUAAAUGACUUGUAAAUGGCUGCACGAUAUUGGAAAAAAUUGACAUUGCAAUGUUUUUUUUUUCCAAUGAUAUACAGGUCUGGAAAAAAAAAUAAGAGACCACUUUAAAAUUAUGAGUUUGUUUGAUUUUACCAAAUUGAAAACCUCUGGAAUAUAAUCAAGAGGAAGAUGGAUGAACAGAAGCCAUCAAACCAAACUGAACUGCUUAAAUUUGUGCGCCAGGAGUGCAGGCAUAAAGUUAUCCAAAAGCAGUGUGUUAGACUGGUGGAGGAGAACAUGCCAAGAUGCAUGAAAACUGUGAUUAAAAACCAGUGUUAUUCCAUCAAAUAUUGAUUUCUGAACUCUUAAAAAUGUAUAAUUAUGAACUUUUCUUUUUUUUGCAUUAUUUGAGGUCUGAAAACUGAAAACAUCAUUUUUGUUAUUUCAGCCUUUUCUCAUUUUCUCCAAAUAAAUGCUCUAAAUGAGAAUAUUUGUAUUUGGAAUUUGGGAGAAAUGUUGUCCGUAGUUUAUAGAAUAAAACAACAAUGUUCAUUUUACUCAAACAUAUACCUAUAAAUAGCACACUCAGCUAAACUGAUUCAAAAACUAAAGUGGUCUCUUAUAUUUUUUUCAGAGCUGUAUCUAUGCAAUAUUAUGUUUGUUAUUUUAAUAUUAUUGCAGCCCUGCUUUACAAUUAUUUCCAAAUAUAAGUUUUACUUUAAAGCUUUAGAUACUGAGGAUGCUGUACAUUACAGCAUCAGGAGGACUGUCUUAAAUCUUUGCCGACUUGUUUACUGCUUUAAAGGCCAUUUUUACAGUAUUAUGGGAUUGUUUUAAAGCCAUAGAGACUCGUCUGCACUCCUGUAGACAGAUCCUAAAGGCUUAUAGAUUUGUUGAUGGCCUGUAUUAAAGACUGAUUAACUUGUCAAACAGCCUGUUAACAGCAUUAUGGGCCUGUCUUAAAACCCUUACAGACUUGUCUCUGGCCUUGUAAACCUAUGUAGGUAUCUUAUUGAACUUAAAGCCUUUAAAUUGCUAUAUAUCAUCUUCAUUACAGUAUCACAAUGUAUAGCAAUAUAUUAAAUCGUAACGCCUGUAUUGUGAUAUGUAUCAUAUACCCACAUUUUUAAACUGCCCUUCUGAAUAAGCUGUUUACUACAGGGUAACUGGACCAAAAGUACUGAACCUGGAUUGGCUCCAUUUGUCCAUGUUUUGUAGUAUGUUGUUUGGAAGCAACUAGAUUAUUUAAUAUGGGUUUGAUACAUUGUUUAAAAAUAAACCAAUAUUUUUGUGCAGAAAGCUACAUUUUUUUGCUGUUUUCUUUGAUGAAAACAUUUAAACCAAAGGAAGACCUGCAGAAUUGGCUGAGCGCUGAAGCUAAAAACAUGCAAAGCUCUUGUUACGUGGUUAAACUUUAACUCAUUUCCAGAGAAUGUAAGGGGUUCCAAAAACGUUUAAUCUGCCGUGUGUGUUUACUAUCCUCUGUUCUCUUUUUCUUUACACUCAGUUCAAACAGAACUGCACUCUGCAUGAGUAUUACAACAAAACAGCAUGGUGGAAAAUUAGUUGUUCAGUUUUGGGUUUUAGUAUUCGGUUAUGUUAUUGUUAUGUUAAAGGUGAGGUAUAUCUUUUUCCUGUGGGUCUUUUUCCUUAGCUGUUACUGGUAUUAUGUUAUGCAUGCUCUAGGCUGGUGUUCCGAUAGUCUAGGUGGUUAAAAAGCUGCUCAGCCAGGCAGCAACAUACCUCAUACUGGUGAACUAGCUGUUUCGCAAGCUCUUGAUAGAGUGAGGGGGAAGAAGGUAUCGAGAGGCAGGGCAAGGUAAAGUGAGGGAGAGACACAAAGAGCAAGAUAAAGUGAGGUACAGAAUGAGAGGUAGAAUGAGGCAAAACAAAGUAGAGGCAGGUAGCAUGAGGCAGGGUAAUGUAAAGUGAGGUAAAAUGAGGUAGGGCAAGGUAGAGCGAGUCAGAGUGAAGUAGAGGCAUGUAGCAUGAGGCAGGGCAAUGUAAAAUAAGGUGGACCAAGGUAGAGUGAGGUAAAAAAAAAAAAGUAGCGUAAUAAGUGAGUGAGGUAGGGCAAGGUAGAGUGAGGUAGAAUAAGGUAGAGUAAAAUAGAGUGAGUCAGAGUAAGGUAGAGCGAGUCAGAGUGAGGUAGAGCAAGGUGGAGUGAGGUAGCAAGGUGACAGAGUAAGGUAGAGCAAGGUGAAGUGAGGUAGCAAGGUGACAGGGUGAGGUAGAGCAAGGUGGAGUGAGGUAGCAAGGUGACAAAGUAAGGUAGAGCAAGGUAGAGGCAGGUAGCAGGUGGUAGAGUGAGGAAGCAUUAGGGAGAGUGAGGUAGUGUAAGUUAGUAUGAGGUAGAGUGAGGUAGAGUUCCACAGUAAACACUCAUCAAACUACUUAUUAGUCCAGGAUCGAGAGCAGGCCAAGCCAAGUGUCAGAAACCCUGAGAGAAGCUUAAAUUAUUUUAUUUCAGAUCUAAAUUUAUCUGGUUUUACAUUGAUAUCGAAAUAUACAACAGCAUUAUGGCACAGCAGAUUGUUUAUGAGACACUAUAAUCUCAUGUUUAUAAAAGUCUAUAUUUUGGUGAAGCAGGAGAAAUCGAGUGUAAGGUUCUGUUCUGAUGUGUAGCCGUUGUGAGGUGUGAAGUUUUCAGAGCUACACUGAUGUAGGGGAAUCCCAGGCUACUGCAUUUACUGUAAGUUGGGAGCUUUGCUGAGUGAGACACCUAACCAGUGAAGACGUAUUGUUCAGUGGCGUGUGAAACGGGCUCAGAGCCGUUAGUCUGGCCACCACUCGUCCUCCAGCCAAGAGUAUUAUGCAAAUCACUAUACAGCACCGUGACUAACGUCUGAUUGAUGUGUUUGAGGAGACUGCCUGGGCUCUUUUAUUUAUCUCCUGUGAAGAAGAAGAGGGUUUCAGGCUACUUUUUUUUCUGAUGUCCUUUUUUCCAUCACUUUUUUUGUGAAUGUGUUUAAGGAAACUUAAUCAGUACUUUUGUAAAAAAAACAACAACAUCUAAUCUAAUCUAAUCUUACUUUAAAACUCCUCUUAAAUCAAGACUUCUGAACAGAACUGUCAAGAUGUACCGGCUCAAAAUGUGUUGUGAUAAACGAUAUAAUUGUCAUAUUAAAGACCCAUUAAUUCCACUGAUAUUUGAAGAUCAAUGAAUUUUUGAUCAUUAAGAGCAUUCAGAUGUCACAAAAAAAUAAAAAAUGGUUAAAUAUCUUAAAUAAAUGAGCAAAACUAAUUAAAUAAAAUCUUGCAGACCUUGUAGAUGGAGUUUUAGGCCCAAUCCCAUUUCACCCCUUGGUCCUACCACUUUCCCCUACCCCUUCUUUUCGAGUGUACCCCUUCCCCUUGAAACAGACUUACAAGCAGAAGGGGUAAAAUCCUCCACCCUAAGAAUUGGGACAACCUUUCAAGAAAGGGGGAAAAUUGUGCAGAAACUAAUUAUUAUUGCCAAUCCCUAAUUCCUUUGUAAUGGGGAGCUGAAAUUAGCUUUGAUUAGCUUUUAUUUUAUUUUAUUUUAUUUGUCCAUUCCGCCUUAAAUGCUGCAGCCCCUGCCAUCUGUUGCUCCAUUUAAGGUGGAACGGGAAAGUUAGAUAAGCUAGCUAGUUAGCUACUAAGACAAACUACUAGCAAUCUUUUUUUAUGCUUGUUCAUAAGAAUUCAGCCAUAGAACAUCGAAACUACACAUUAAAAUCUGGUAAAAUAGUGCUAAGCGUCACUUUUUUUUUUUUUUACAUUUAUGGGUUUC